rnacentral:rRNA from 1 species
AUUGAACGCUGGCGGCAGGCUUAACACAUGCAAUUCGAACGGUAACAUAAAGAAGCUUGCUUCUUUGAUGACGAGUGGCGGCGGGUUGAUUAAUGCUUGGGAAUCUAGCUUUUGGAGGGGGUUAAUUCCGGGAAACGGUAGCUAUUACCCCUUAGAAUCGGGAGUUGAAGUUUUGGGACCUUCGGGCCCCUUGCCUUAGGUUAGGCCAAGUGGGAUUAGGGAGUUUGUGAGGUAAAGGCUCACCAAGCCGACGAUCCAUAGCUGGUCUGAGAGGAUGACCAGCCACACUGGGACUGAGACACGGCCCAGACUCCUACGGGAGGCAGCAGUGGGGAAUAUUGCGCAAUGGGGGCAACCCUGACGCAGCCAUGCCGCGUGAAUGAAGAAGGCCUUCGGGUUGUAAAGUUCUUUCGGUAGCGAGGAAGGCAUUUAGUUUAAUAGACUAGGUGAUUGACGUUAACUACAGAAGAAGCACCGGCUAACUCCGUG